UACGUAGGGUGCGAGCGUUAAUCGGAAUUACUGGGCGUAAAGCGUGCGCAGGCGGUUUUGUAAGCCAGAUGUGAAAGCCCCGGGCUUAACCUGGGAAUGGCAUUUGGGACUGCAAGGCUUGAGUGCGGCAGAGGAGACUGGAAUUCCUGGUGUAGCAGUGAAAUGCGUAGAUAUCAGGAGGAAUACCGAUGGCGAAGGCAGGUCACUGGGCCGCAACUGACGCUGAGGAGCGAAAGCAUGGGGAGCGAACAGG
rnacentral:rRNA from 1 species